CCUGCUCUGACGUGUCCAUGAAGUGUAAACAACAAUCCUGCAGGAAUCUGCAACAUGCACCGAAAAUUAAAACAUUUCGUUGCCGAUAAUAAAGCUAUUUUAUGCUCGCGGGCAUGGUUAACUGGAGUCUUGUAUCCCUUUGUGUUUUGCUCGGUUUUACGGCGAGAUGGGCUGUAAUCCUUGAACUCGUAUUCAGUGGCUGGCAAACCACCUAUGUAAGGGGCGAAACUCAACGGCACUGGCAAGAAGUGACAUAUAAUCUGCCUGUUUAUGAAUGAGCCAAGCGGAUAAACCCAGAGUGGGUGGAACUGCACACGUCUCAAGGUUACGAAAGCUUAGCCCAUAAGAUGUUUACGAGAGCCACAGCUAAGACUACUGAAGGACAGUUCCUGUUGCAGAUCUGCUGAUAUAUGUUCCUGCUGUUGUGCUUUACUUCUUUUUGUCUUUUCUUUUUACCUCAGUGAAGGAUCGAACAAGAGAAGGUAAGGCAGAAUUCUGUCAUGUACAUGUCCUCUGUUUGCUUGUAACUAAAACGUUACUAGAAAAACAAAGAUACUGUAGAACUAGAAAAAUGAAGAUACUAGGUCUGCACAGUCCUGUAUCCUGCUCUAUCCAGGCCUUAUUCUCAUCGACCUCUGGCAUUUCCAGUUGUCUUUUAAAAACCAAAGCUGUCUCUGUCACUGCACUACAGAUUCGGACUGACCAGCGUUAGAAACUCUUAUGAGCUGUAGCCCUUUCCACUCACAGCCCCUGUCAUCCCAUAUACGGGUUGAAAAUGUUGUCAUCGAUAAGCGCCUAAGUUGGAACGCAGCGGCUGUACAGCAACAUGGUGUACAGUACAUGACAUCAGAGGUCAGGUUCUCCACUUCAUAGUUCUGUAGGGGGUUUUGACUGACGACCGUUAUAAACUUGAGCACCGCUCACGACAAGAAAAUGCCCCCCAUUCCUCCCUCUAAUCGGGCUACUCUUGCAAAUUUUUUUUGUCUGAAUGAGGGAAUUGCUGCAGACGUUGACGAGUAUAAUAAAUACUGCUUUGACGUCAUACAAGCAAACCACACACCCCUGAGCCCAAAUGUUAACAGUCCCAUAUUUGAAAACUCAUGUCAUUUACAUGAUCAACGUUUUAUCAUCACUGUGAUGGAUCUACAGUGAUAAGGAUGACAGGUGUUAUACCCUGGGUUGUCCUGAACACAAUGAGCCUGUGUUUGUCGUAUUGUGAGGAAAAUGAGCCGCCAAACACGCACUUGAAUGCACUCGUGACUCCAUUCUAUGCGCACCAAAAUUACAAUCUGUUUGUCUGAUGUGCCUUUGGAAAGCCUAAUGCUGUAAGAUUGUAUUUUAUAACAUGUAGGCAAUAGGAUAAGCGGUGUAAAAUACUGCUGUGUAAAGUACAAUAAAUGUAAAAUGCACAAACAAUCAACCGUGUAUAAUGUUUGGAUUCAGUCUUGUGUCAGGUGAACUGUUGUGUCUUCCCCUUUGGACUGAUCCUUUCUCCAUAAUCUCCAAAGUGUUCUGUUUCAAUUACUACCAUGGUCAUGCGUAUGCUUUUUAUAGUUUCUUCUGUUGGAAACAUUUCAAUUUGGCCCUAUCCAUAUUGACCAAUGUCCACGUGUUUUCGGGGUUAACCGUGUCGUCAUGUCUAUAUUCUUUAACCUGGCGUCAAAUACAACAGUGUAAGCCUGGGGCUGGCCCUUAUGGGGUGUGGUGGGUCUGGGUCUGGGCUGGGACAUGCUAGGCUCUCUGGCCUUCGUCCUGGCCCCUCAACUACAAACAGAUGGAGCUCUACCACUCCCUGCCCUUCUUCUGCUACUUACUGGGCAAGUGUUUCAAGAAGGGCCUGGCAGGCCGAGGGUGAGUUAGCUGACUUAGACUUACAGCCCUGGCUAAGGAGGUUUGUGUGUGUGGAAAGAUGUUGUGUGAGAGCCAGCAGAGAAUGUAUGAUUUCACUCUAUAAAAUUAAUCAAUCAGACAAUCAGUUUACCAUCAAGUCUGAUGGGGAAAAAAGCAUCAAAGAUCAGAUUAUUUUCAAUAACUCUGAAUCACAGUCAGAAUGAUUCUUUUUCAAUAAAUACUCUGAAUCAACAACUUCCUGUAGCCAGUGGACAAAACAUGGCCCCAUGAAGUAGCCUAUACUAUGUCUACUCUGCCACUCUCCCAAACAGAGUAGCGGAGUUAUUGAGGCGAGGCAAUCCGGUUGGAUGACUGUUACUAGUGUCCUCACAUUUGUUUAUCUAGUAACAAUGUACCAAGGGCAUCUGGUAGCAAAUGGAUAGCUGGAUUAGAUGGGUAGGGGAAGAUAUGUCCAGAUGACACUAUCGCCAUGCCCAAGCUCCUCAGCUAUUCCUGUGUGUGCAACUUUACCACCACACAACUUCUACAGCUGACCUACUGUGAAAUACUUUUAGCUGAUGCAUGGUCUUCACAACAUACAUUGACUAACUUGGGAUGCACGGACAGUCAUGGUACACAGCUGUUGUCUUUUUGGAGUCCGCUACAUCAAUCUUAAUUCUCAGAGGAACAUGUGAGAGAGAACAACAGAGAGAGCUGAGAUUCAGCCCAUGCAUACUGUUGAAAAUGUUCAUUUGAAUGUUUUACUGCUUUACAAGUGCAUUUAUAGUGCAUGAUGGUUAAGGGCUUGUAAGGAUUUCAUGGUAAGGUCUACCGACGCCUGUUGUAUUCGGCGCAUGUGACAAAUAAACAUGGAUUUAAUUUAGAUUUCAUGUACAGACAGUGCCCGAGUGAGUUUAUGUUUUGGGUAUUUGACCGUUUUAAAGUUAUACUUCGGGAUUUUCCUCAGUCAGAUGAACUAGUGGAUACCAUUUUUAUGUGUCUGCAUGCAGUUUGAAGGAAGUUGCUAACUAGCUCUAGCGCAAUGACCUAGCAGAUACCCAUAGACCUAGCAGAUACCCAGUCAUUGCAGUAACGCUAGUUAGAAACUACCUCUAACUUCCUUCAUACUGGACACAGAGUAAUACAAAUGGCAUCCACAAGUUCAUCUGACUCUGGUGCAGUAGAUACGGGUUCCAUUUCAAGGUUUGGUGUACUUCAUCAUUUGCCUUCUCACCCACCUUCUACCGAGGUUGUUCCUGCUAGUAAAGAUGGUUGUAACAGUCCUGGUGACGUUUGCUGGCUGCCAUUCCUGUCUGACCCCAGCCAGGCCCUGUACUGCCUCUUUCCUGUGGAGUGGGGCCUCUUCGAGGAUCAAGUGGCCAACACAUGGGUGCAGCUUGAACGGCCUGAUAAAGAUCAAGACCAUCCUGUCCACUGAUACCCAGCUCUACCUCGGUUUGGCCACCACUCUCCUGGCUAUCCUACCUAUGUCAAUCAAACUAUUGGUGAACCCUACUCUAUGGCAGUUCAAACUUCCCUUGACCAAGUAUGCCUACUACUGAAUGACCUCCCUCUGCCAGCCAUCUGUUUUUUACAGGCCUCCCUGUUCACUAUGCUGCCAUUGUUACUGAAAGAUGGUCUGUUGGUGCCGUACGUGGUCACCUCCCUGGCCUUCCUGUUCGUCAGCGUAUACCUGCUUUUCCACCCUUGGAGCAUUGCUCAGAAGACGAGCUGCGUCUGGGGCCCUACCACCGCCCCAUCCGUAUGCCCAGCAUGGACCUCGGAAGGGUCACCAAGUGGAAAUUCUACAUCUCCAUCGUGGCCAUGGCUGGUUUGUGCUUUAUGAGCAUGACGCUGGCCCCUCUGGCCAGGCUGCCUGAUUUGUUUCCCCUCCUGGUGUCAGUGUUCUUUUCCACCACUUCCUGGGCCUCCUCUUCAACUUCAACCAUGUCCAGAUUGCCAAGCCGCCUCCACCUGGGAGUAAGAAUCAGAGUAGUCGCUACCCGGUAGAAAGAAAACUUACUGAAAAGCAAACUAUGCACAGUGCCUCAGUAACUGACCACCAAGGACCAAUAGGACUCAUGGAGAAAUGCUACUAGUCUAUAAUCUUUAUUCUAGGGAUAACCCUCCUGUCAACAUGAAUGGUUGGUGUUUUGUCAAUGCCUAAUUAUGUACAUCAAACUUAAAUUUUUUAUGUUUUUUUUAAAACUUGAAUUGUUUUUCAAUAUUUCCAAAUGUUUGUUCCAUCAUUACAAUUAUUUUGUACAAAUUGUAUUUUUCUUGAAAAAUAAAAUCACCUCAGAUAUGA